AGCCAAAAGUUACGUAAUUGGUUAAAGUAAUUGCAGGCCAUUUCUGGGUAAAUCCUUUCAAGGCUUGGUUGAACUGUUUCAUGUAAAUUGUUCUAAAUAAGAGCUGGGUUCUGUGGUUGGGAUCGGAGAAUCUGUUGAACAAGUCAGACAUAGAUCUUGUCAUUAUGGAAUUCACAGUCCAGUGGAGAACACAGAUAAUUAAGCAGAUACAAUACCAUGUGGUUAUUGCAGGUGAAUGAACUCAUAUAUGACAUGUGGAAUAGCAGGUCAGAAAAGCUGUGACUCUUUCAGUUUUGGCUCCAAGUCCAAGUUAUGUUUCUUACACUACAUGGCCUCUUUUGUAUGGUAAUUACUUCACCAAAUUAUCCAGUACUGACCUAUCUGUGAACCUCAUUUUUUCUCUUUUUCCCUUCUUCUCAGGAGCGUGUGUGAUGAAAGCAAAAUUAAUGACAGAGGCAGGCACAACCAAGCCUAACUGCCAAAAUUCAAGAAUCCUAGUGAAGGGCCAUGCACACUCUGGCUUUCUUAUCACCUCAUCUUUGAAGAGAAAGAAACACUGCUGAGAGCUCAUUUCUUCUGCCUCUAGCCAGUUACUGAAAACGGUAAAAUGGAAGAGUGGCAGAGCCAGAAAAAGAAGCCGCCUUGACUCUGCCAAGCUAGUGCUCCUGCUGCCAAUCGCAACUCUUUGUGUGUAGACAGUCUGUGCAGCAGACUAGGACCCGCUUCAAGUACCGCAUCUGCCUGGGGCUCUUUCCCAGUAUAGUUUACUGCUCUCCAUCCUACCCUGAAGGAUAUCACCUCCCUGAUUCCUUCCCAAGCCUCCAUGACAGCUUCCUGUCAAGUGACUCUCCCCCACAAGUCUUUUCUGACAAAUCUCAGAGAUGCAACAGCUGGUCACCCUUCAAGACUUGCACAUGUCUCUGUUGCCACGCACUACUGAGUUCAAGAAAAACAAUCAGCCAAGAAGUCGUUCAAGUUGUCUGAAAUUCAACUCUACCAAAGCUUCUGAUUCUACAUCUUAUUAACCAUUUUGAUAUUACUUUGGACAUCAUGUCUCUGUAAGUUUAGAUCUACAUUUUAAACCACUUAUUUUGUUUUAAUACUAUAACCCAGUUUUUUGUUUGUUUGUUUGUUAUUUGUUUUUUGUUUUUUGUUUUUUCAGUUCCCUCACUCCUACUCUUCAUCGAGGCCAACUCUUGAUUUUGGCUAAGGUCAUGAUCUCGAUCUCAGGGAUUGAGCCCUGCAUGUGAGAUUUUAAAAUUUUUUAGAUGCUGUUCUGGUGCAUAAGCAAUCUUUUGUACUUAUUGAUGCUUUAGAGUCUAAAAGGUGAGGCUCGUGGGAAAUUCAGGGUUGUAAUGAAUUUAACAUCAAAGCCUUAGAAACUGCAGGUACUGAAGAAACAAUGGUUGAUUGAGGCUAAAGAGAAAACUUAAUUUAGGUGAGGAAACAUUUGGACUUGAAUUCUUUUGAACUUUAAUUAAAAUGGUUAUUUAAUUUUUGGAAUUACUUCUCACCCUGAUUUAAUAAUUGAUCCAUCUUGUUCAAAUUGGGAGACUUUUUGUAUUGUAGGCACUAUAUUAAUUUAUAUAUUUUUGUGUGGCCAUCAUUUGGACUUAUUACAUAGCCUCUGGUGCACCAUAUUGGAUAACAUGCCUCUGCAAUAAUUCGAAAUGGGAUUCAGAACAGGGAAUGGAGUUCCAGCCUGGGGUGCAAUGUGGCCUUUAGUCAGUGAAACAGGCACACUAUUUCUGAUCCACUUCUAUGGUCUUUCUGCCUGGAAGGCUGCUGCAUAGACUAAACAGGUUGGGGCAUAUAUACUCUCAUGUGAUUGUUACCACUUACAGCACAACCACAAGAGUCAGCUCUGCCUCUGGGGAUAAAAGCUGAGUUGCCCAUCAUCAUCCCAGGAGCAGAGGUUGCUUUUGAUGGCAGAACUAUUCUAAGAUCAUUGUUGUAGUGCUAACCUGCAGGCCUGUUUCCAAGG
rnacentral:lncRNA from 12 species